GCUUAACCGCAAGGAGGGCGCUUACCACGGUAGGAUUCGUGACUGGGGUGAAGUCGUAACAAGGUAGCCGUAUCGGAAGGUGCGGCUGGAUCACCUCCUUUCUAG
rnacentral:rRNA from 1 species